ensembl:rRNA 5S_rRNA 5S ribosomal RNA
GAGCAUGGCCAUACCACCCUGAGCAAGCCCGACCUCGUCUGAUCUCGGAAGCUAAGCAGGGAUGGGCUUGGUUAGUACUUGGAGGGAUAGAACAGUUUCAACGUAUUCACAUGACAAACCCUGGUUUUUCGCC